AUGUCUUACACCUGCCUCUUCAUUGGCGCACCUGUUUUUCCAUGCCUUCUCCUCGGCCUCGUCCUUCGCAGCAGCAGCAGUCACCAGCCUAUGAGAGGAAGAAGAGCAAAAACUGAAGAAUGGGAGCCAUCAAAUAAAUACACACAAUGCAACAGCAGUAAACUCUCUCAAGGAGAAAAGAGACAAUCUAAGUUUAAAGACAGAUGGGUUUAUGAUAGAGAUGACCUAGAAUGAGACGACAAAAACAUGUAAGUGACCCUUACGUAUGACAGAUACGAAGACAUUGAAUUUUCUUGUCUUUGCUUAAGAUCCCCAACAGAUUUCUGCACAGCCAUCAAACAAUAUGCCAGUUGUGUGACCGGGACAUUUAGAAAUCCACAGCACAUCCUGUUCUUGUAAUGCCACAAAUAAGUAUUGACAGUGAGACAUGGAGGCAUGAUGAGCAGUACAAGAUCCUCAGAGCAGAUACAGUGACACGCAUUGAGAUCAACACCACGAAUAAUAAUCCAGUUUCAUCCAGAAAUGCAAAUGGAAUAACUUAUAAUGAUAUGGAAAAGGGAUUUGCUGCUUAUCGACAAAGAUUUGAAGGCAAACAGGAGCAAAGUCAACCAAUUGUCCUAUUACAGUGAAACAUCAGGGAACAGCAACCUGCUGACACAUGAACCUCUUUGCUUAUGAAAGGAAACUUUGACUUUCUGUCUUGGCAUUGAGCCAGCUUUUAACGUUCAUCUGUUUUCCUGCAUUACCCUUUGAAAGCCUAAUGAAAAGCAGCCAACAAACAAAUCUUAUCGUAUGUCUUUCAAUUGUUUCUGAAACGCAAACACAUAUUUAUUUGAAUUUAAAGUAGCUUUUAAAUUGAUUAGAAAUGGUGUGUUCUGCCUUUUUGGUUCAUCAGGGGACCAUCUUUUGAAUCAGAUGAUAAUAUUAUUAUGACCCUCAGAUAUUUAAAGGCAUUUAGAAUGAAGCAGAAAAAAAGAACCAACAAAGAAAGUAAAACUGAAUGAAUGAAAAACCACUUAUAAUCAGUAAUAAUCACAGUGAAAGCCUGAAUUUUGUUGUGACAAUAUCUCAAGUAAUCUAAAAUGGUCCAUUUAAACUUCCAAACAUUCAAUUAUGGAUUUAAAACUAUAAGAACCCAGACCCAGUUUUUCUUAAAAAUGAAAUUAUGUGUAUGUUACCAAAAACCAAAUGGACCACAGAAUCAAUUUCUGAUAUUUUUUCUGUUAUGUCACCAUGGGUUCUUAUAGGUUAAUGGGAUAAUCAAUCACCUAACUGCAGCAUGCAAAACAUGGCCAAUAACUCACUUAGGACAAACAUUGAGAUUUUUAAUUAUACAUGAUUGAAUUAUACAGUAUAAUCUCAUGUGAAGCUCCAAAUUGAAAAUGUAAAAAUCACCCAACAAUAUUAACACAAUUUGAAUAAGUCACAUGUGAG
rnacentral:lncRNA from 1 species